rnacentral:rRNA from 1 species
UACGGAGGGGGCUAGCGUUGUUCGGAAUUACUGGGCGUAAAGCGCGCGUAGGCGGCUUUGUAAGUCAGAGGUGAAAGCCUGAAGCUCAACUCCAGAACUGCCUUUGAAACUACAUCGCUAGAAUCAUGGAGAGGUUAGUGGAAUUCCGAGUGUAGAGGUGAAAUUCGUAGAUAUUCGGAAGAACACCAGUGGCGAAGGCGACUAACUGGACAUGUAUUGACGCUGAGGUGCGAAAGCGUGGGGAGCAAACGGG